UUGGAAUUGGGAAAACUUUUUCUACCAAAAGUGUAUCCUGUAGGAAUCAAUUGUUCGUAUGAUUCUUUGAUAGAAAGAAAUCAAAAGGGGGUGUGUUGCUGCCAUUUUUUAAAUAAAAAACGUUAAAGAUCACCGAAGUAAUGUCUAAACCUAAUGAUUCAAAGCAAAGAUAAAGGAUCCUGGAACAAGGAAAUACCAUUUUUCAAUUGUCUCAACAAUUCAAUCCAAUCCAAAAAUAGAUUCGAU
rnacentral:lncRNA from 1 species